UACGUAGGCAGCGAGCGUUGUUCGGAGUUACUGGGCGUAAAGGGUGCGUAGGCGGUUGUUUAAGUUUGGUGUGAAAUCUCCCGGCUCAACUGGGAGGGUGCGCCGAAUACUGAAUGACUAGAGUGCGGGAGAGGAAAGUGGAAUUCCUGGUGUAGCGGUGGAAUGCGUAGAGAUCCGGAAGAACACCGGUGGCGAAGGCGGCCCGCUGGGCAACUGCUGACACUGAGGCGCGACAGCGUGGGGAGCAAACAGG
rnacentral:rRNA from 1 species